rnacentral:rRNA from 1 species
GUAGAUGAUUGGGGUGAAGUCGUAACAAGGUAGCCGUAUCGGAAGGUGCGGCUGGAUCACCUCCUUU